AUGCAGACAUUUGUAGAUUGUGUUGUGGUUCUUGUUGACUUUUUGUUUGUUUGCUUUGGCACCUUUCAACACCCUGCAUUAUCACAUUCAUGCAUGAAAAACACUCACUUACGCUACUGAUUACUGAUUACACACAUCAUUGUAUAUUUUCCUUAGUUUCUUUAGUUAAUAAAUAUAUUUUGUUACUCCUUAUCUCCACGUUGUCUCCCUUUGUUACGGGCUUUGAGCCGGUUCGUGACAGUGUGAAAAAUUGUAUGUCUCUAUUUUGCAAGCUGAUACAGUAGCUCCACGUGCCAUAUCACGCUGAUUGAAAUUAUGUCUAGCUGACCUGUAACUCCAGGCCUGCUAUACCGUCCCUAUGGUUCUCCUCCUCCUCUCCAGCCCUGCUAUACUGUCCCUAUGGUUCUCCUCCUCCUCUCCAGCCCUGCUAUACUGUCCCUAUGGUUCUCCUCCUCCUCUCCAGCCCUGCUAUACUGUCCCUAUGGUUCUCCUCCUCCUCUCCAGCCCUGCUAUACUGUCCCUAUGGUUCUCCUCCUCCUCUCCAGACCUGCUAUACCGUCCCUAUGGUUCUCCUCCUCCUCUCCAGCCCUGCUAUACUGUCCCUAUGGUUCUCCUCCUCCUCUCCAGCCCUGCUAUACUGUCCCUAUGGUUCUCCUCCUCCUCUCCAGCCCUGCUAUACCGUCCCUAUGGUUCUCCUCCUCCUCUCCAGCCCUGCUAUACCGUCCCUAUGGUUCUCCUCCUCCUCUCCAGCCCUGCUAUACUGUCCCUAUGGUUCUCCUCGUCCUCUCCAGCCCUGCUAUACCGUCCCUAUGGUUCUCCUCCUCCUCUCCAGCCCUGCUAUAAUGUCCCUAUGGUUCUCCUCCUCCUCUCCAGCCCUGCUAUACUGUCCCUAUGGUUCUCCUCCUCCUCACCAGCCCUGCUAUACUGUCCCUAUGGUUCUCCUCCUCCUCUCCAGCCCUGCUAUACUGUCCCUAUGGUUCUCCUCCUCCUCUCCAGCCCUGCUAUACCGUCCCUAUGGUUCUCCUCCUCCUCUCCAGCCCUGCUAUACUGUCCCUAUGGUUCUCCUCGUCCUCUCCAGCCCUGCUAUACCGUCCCUAUGGUUCUCCUCCUCCCAGCCCUGCUAUACUGUCCCUAUGAUUCUCCUCCUCUCCAGCCCUGCUAUACCGUCCCUAUGGUUCUCCUCCUCCUCUCCAGCCCUGCUAUACUGUCCCUAUGGUUCUCCUCCUCCUCUCCAGUCCUGCUAUACUGUCCCUAUGGUUCUCCUCCUCCUCUCCAGCCAUGCUAUACCGUCCCUAUGGUUCUCCUCCUCAUCUCCAGCCCUGCUACACCGUCCCUAUGGUUCUCCUCCUCCUCUCCAGCCCUACUAUACCGUCCCUAUGGUUCUCCUCCUCCUCUCCAGCCCUGUUAUACCAUCCCUAUGGUUCUCCUCCUCCUCUCCAGCCCUGCUAUACCGUCCCUAUGGUUCUCCUCCUCCUCUCCAGCCCUGCUAUACCGUCCCUAUGGUUCUCCUCCUCCUCUCAAGCCCUGCUAUACUGUCCCUAUGGUUCUCCUCCUCCUCACCAGCCCUGCUAUUAGGUCCCUAUGGUUCUCCUCCUCCUCUCCAGCCCUGCUAUACUGUCCCUAUGGUUCUCCUCAUCCUCUCCAGCCCUGCUAUACUGUCCCUAUGGUUCUCCUCCUCCUCUCCAGCCCUGCUAUACCGUCCCUAUGGUUCUCCUCCUCCUCUCCAGCCCUGCUAUACUGUCCCUAUGGUUCUCCUCGUCCUCUCCAGCCCUGCUAUACCGUCCCUAUGGUUCUCCUCCUCCCAGCCCUGCUAUACUGUCCCUAUGAUUCUCCUCCUCUCCAGCCCUGCUAUACCGUCCCUAUGGUUCUCCUCCUCCUCUCCAGCCCUGCUAUACUGUCCCUAUGGUUCUCCUCCUCCUUUCCAGCCCUGCUAUACUGUCCCUAUGGUUCUCCUCCUCCUCUCCAGCCCUGCUAUACCGUCCCUAUGGUUCUCCUCCUCCUCUCCAGCCCUGCUAUACCGUCCCUAUGGUUCUCCUCCUCCUCUCUAGCCCUGCUAUACUGUCCCCAUGGUUCUCCUCCUCCUCUCCAGCCCUGCUAUACUGUCCCUAUGGUUCUCCUCCUCCUCUCCAGCCCUGCUAUACCGUCCCUAUGGUUCUCCUCCUCCUCUCCAGCCCUGCUAUACUGUCCCUAUGGUUCUCCUCGUCCUCUCCAGCCCUGCUAUACCGUCCCUAUGGUUCUCCUCCUCCCAGCCCUGCUAUACUGUCCCUAUGAUUCUCCUCCUCUCCAGCCCUGCUAUACCGUCCCUAUGGUUCUCCUCCUCCUCUCCAGCCCUGCUAUACUGUCCCUAUGGUUCUCCUCCUCCUCUCCAGCCCUGCUAUACUGUCCCUAUGGUUCUCCUCCUCCUCUCCAGCCAUGCUAUACCGUCCCUAUGGUUCUCCUCCUCAUCUCCAGCCCUGCUACACCGUCCCUAUGGUUCUCCUCCUCCUCUCCAGCCCUACUAUACCGUCCCUAUGGUUCUCCUCCUCCUCUCCAGCCCUGUUAUACCAUCCCUAUGGUUCUCCUCCUCCUCUCCAGCCCUGCUAUACCGUCCCUAUGGUUCUCCUCCUCCUCUCCAGCCCUGCUAUACCGUCCCUAUGGUUCUCCUCCUCCUCUCAAGCCCUGCUAUACUGUCCCUAUGGUUCUCCUCCUCCUCACCAGCCCUGCUAUUAGGUCCCUAUGGUUCUCCUCCUCCUCUCCAGCCCUGCUAUACUGUCCCUAUGGUUCUCCUCAUCCUCUCCAGCCCUGCUAUACUGUCCCUAUGGUUCUCCUCCUCCUCUCCAGCCCUGCUAUACCGUCCCUAUGGUUCUCCUCCUCCUCUCCAGCCCUGCUAUACUGUCCCUAUGGUUCUCCUCGUCCUCUCCAGCCCUGCUAUACCGUCCCUAUGGUUCUCCUCCUCCCAGCCCUGCUAUACUGUCCCUAUGAUUCUCCUCCUCUCCAGCCCUGCUAUACCGUCCCUAUGGUUCUCCUCCUCCUCUCCAGCCCUGCUAUACUGUCCCUAUGGUUCUCCUCCUCCUCUCCAGCCCUGCUAUACUGUCCCUAUGGUUCUCCUCCUCCUCUCCAGCCCUGCUAUACCGUCCCUAUGGUUCUCCUCCUCCUCUCCAGCCCUGCUAUACCGUCCCUAUGGUUCUCCUCCUCCUCUCUAGCCCUGCUAUACUGUCCCCAUGGUUCUCCUCCUCCUCUCCAGCCCUGCUAUACUGUCCCUAUGGUUCUCCUCCUCCUCUCCAGCCCUGCUAUACUGUCCCUAUGGUUCUCCUCCUCCUCUCCAGCCCUGCUAUACCAUCCCUAUGGUUCUCCUCCUCUCCAGCCCUGCUAUACUGUCCCUAUGGUUCUCCUCUUCCCAGCCCUGCUAUUCGGUCCCUAUGGUUCUCCUCCUCUCCAGCCCUGCUAUACGGUCCCUAUGGUUCUCCUCUUCCCAGCACUGCUAUACUGUCCCUAUGGUUCUCCUCCUCUCCAGCCCUGCUAUACCGUCCCUCCUCCUCUCCAAACCUCCUAUAUCGUCCCUAUGGUUCUCCUCCUCUCCAGCCCUGCUAUACCGUCCCUAUGGUUCUCCUCCUCCUCUCCAGCCCUGCUGUACCGUCCCUAUGGUUCUCCUCCUCCUCUCCAAACCUCCUAUAUCGUCCCUAUGGUUCUCCUCCUCCUCUCCAGCCCUGCUAUACUGUCCCUAUGGUUCUCCUCCUCCUCUCCAGCCCUGCUAUACCGUCCCUAUGAUUCUCCUCCUCCUCUCCAGCCCUGCUAUACUGUCCCUAUGGUUCUCCUCCUCCUCCUAUCCAGCCCUGCUAAACUGUCCCUAUGGUCCUCCUCCUCCUCUCCAGCCCUGCUAUACUGUCCCUAUGGGUCUCCUCCUCCUCUCCAGCCCUGCUAUACCGUCCCUAUGGUUCUCCUCCUCUCCUUCCCUGCUAUACUGUCCCUAUGGUUCUCCUCCUCCUCUCCAGCCCUGCUAUACUGUCCCUAUGGUUCUCCUCCUCCUCUCCAGCCCUGCUAUACCGUCCCUAUGGUUCUCCUCCUCCUCUCCAGCCCUGCUAUACCGUCCCUAUGGUUCUCCUCCUCCUCCCAGCCCUGCUAUACCAUCCCUAUGGUUCUCCUCCUCCUCUCGAGCCCUGCUAUACUGUCCCUAUGGUUCUCCUCCUCCUCUCCAGCCCUGCUAUACCGUCCCUAUGGUUCUCCUCCUCCUCUCCAGCCCUGCUAUACUGUCCCUAUGGUUCUCCUCGUCCUCUCCAGCCCUGCUAUACCGUCCCUAUGGUUCUCCUCCUCCCAGCCCUGCUAUACUGUCCCUAUGAUUCUCCUCCUCUCCAGCCCUGCUAUACCGUCCCUAUGGUUCUCCUCCUCCUCUCCAGCCCUGCUAUACUGUCCCUAUGGUUCUCCUCCUCCUCUCCAGCCCUGCUAUACUGUCCCUAUGGUUCUCCUCCUCCUCUCCAGCCAUGCUAUACCGUCCCUAUGGUUCUCCUCCUCAUCUCCAGCCCUGCUACACCGUCCCUAUGGUUCUCCUCCUCCUCUCCAGCCCUACUAUACCGUCCCUAUGGUUCUCCUCCUCCUCUCCAGCCCUGUUAUACCAUCCCUAUGGUUCUCCUCCUCCUCUCCAGCCCUGCUAUACCGUCCCUAUGGUUCUCCUCCUCCUCUCCAGCCCUGCUAUACCGUCCCUAUGGUUCUCCUCCUCCUCUCAAGCCCUGCUAUACUGUCCCUAUGGUUCUCCUCCUCCUCACCAGCCCUGCUAUUAGGUCCCUAUGGUUCUCCUCCUCCUCUCCAGCCCUGCUAUACUGUCCCUAUGGUUCUCCUCAUCCUCUCCAGCCCUGCUAUACUGUCCCUAUGGUUCUCCUCCUCCUCUCCAGCCCUGCUAUACCGUCCCUAUGGUUCUCCUCCUCCUCUCCAGCCCUGCUAUACUGUCCCUAUGGUUCUCCUCGUCCUCUCCAGCCCUGCUAUACCGUCCCUAUGGUUCUCCUCCUCCCAGCCCUGCUAUACUGUCCCUAUGAUUCUCCUCCUCUCCAGCCCUGCUAUACCGUCCCUAUGGUUCUCCUCCUCCUCUCCAGCCCUGCUAUACUGUCCCUAUGGUUCUCCUCCUCCUCUCCAGCCCUGCUAUACUGUCCCUAUGGUUCUCCUCCUCCUCUCCAGCCCUGCUAUACCGUCCCUAUGGUUCUCCUCCUCCUCUCCAGCCCUGCUAUACCGUCCCUAUGGUUCUCCUCCUCCUCUCUAGCCCUGCUAUACUGUCCCCAUGGUUCUCCUCCUCCUCUCCAGCCCUGCUAUACUGUCCCUAUGGUUCUCCUCCUCCUCUCCAGCCCUGCUAUACUGUCCCUAUGGUUCUCCUCCUCCUCUCCAGCCCUGCUAUACCAUCCCUAUGGUUCUCCUCCUCUCCAGCCCUGCUAUACUGUCCCUAUGGUUCUCCUCUUCCCAGCCCUGCUAUUCGGUCCCUAUGGUUCUCCUCCUCUCCAGCCCUGCUAUACGGUCCCUAUGGUUCUCCUCUUCCCAGCACUGCUAUACUGUCCCUAUGGUUCUCCUCCUCUCCAGCCCUGCUAUACCGUCCCUCCUCCUCUCCAAACCUCCUAUAUCGUCCCUAUGGUUCUCCUCCUCUCCAGCCCUGCUAUACCGUCCCUAUGGUUCUCCUCCUCCUCUCCAGCCCUGCUGUACCGUCCCUAUGGUUCUCCUCCUCCUCUCCAAACCUCCUAUAUCGUCCCUAUGGUUCUCCUCCUCCUCUCCAGCCCUGCUAUACUGUCCCUAUGGUUCUCCUCCUCCUCUCCAGCCCUGCUAUACCGUCCCUAUGAUUCUCCUCCUCCUCUCCAGCCCUGCUAUACUGUCCCUAUGGUUCUCCUCCUCCUCCUAUCCAGCCCUGCUAAACUGUCCCUAUGGUCCUCGUCCUCCUCUCCAGCCCUGCUAUACUGUCCCUAUGGGUCUCCUCCUCCUCUCCAGCCCUGCUAUACCGUCCCUAUGGUUCUCCUCCUCUCCUUCCCUGCUAUACUGUCCCUAUGGUUCUCCUCCUCCUCUCCAGCCCUGCUAUACUGUCCCUAUGGUUCUCCUCCUCCUCUCCAGCCCUGCUAUACCGUCCCUAUGGUUCUCCUCCUCCUCUCCAGCCCUGCUAUACCGUCCCUAUGGUUCUCCUCCUCCUCCCAGCCCUGCUAUACCAUCCCUAUGGUUCUCCUCCUCCUCUCGAGCCCUACUAUACUGUCCCUAUGGUUCUCCUCCUCCCAGCCUUGCUAUACUGUCCCAUUGGUUCUCCUCCUCCUCUCCAGCCCUGCUAUACCAUCCCCGUGGUUCUCCUCCUCCUCUCCAGCCCUGCUAUACUGUCUCUAUGGUUCUCCUCCUCCUCUCCAGCGCUGCUAUAUCGUCCCUAUGGUUCUCCUCCUCCCAGCCCUGCUAUUCCAUCCCUAUGGUUCUCCUCCUCCUCUCGAGCCCUGCUAUACCGUCCCUAUGGUUCUCCUCCUCCCAGCCCUGCUAUACUGUCCCUAUGGUUCUCCUCGUCCUCUCCAGCCCUGCUAUACCAUCCCUAUGGUUCUCCUCCUCCUCUCCAGCCCUGCUAUAAUGUCCCUAUGGUUCUCCUCCUCCUCUCCAGCCCUGCUAUACUGUCCCUAUGGUUCUCCUCCUCCUCACCAGCCCUGCUAUACUGUCCCUAUGGUUCUCCUCCUCCUCUCCAGCCCUGCUAUACUGUCCCUAUGGUUCUCCUCCUCCUCUCCAGACCUGCUAUACCGUCCCUAUGGUUCUCGUCCUCCUCUCCAGCCCUGCUAUACUGUCCCUAUGGUUCUCCUCCUCCUCUCCAGCCCUGCUAUACCGUCCCUAUGGUUCUCCUCCUCCUCUCCAGCCCUGCUAUACUGUCCCUAUGAUUCUCCUCGUCCUCUCCAGCCCUGCUAUACCGUCCCUAUGGUUCUCCUCCUCCCAGCCCUGCUAUACUGUCCCUAUGAUUCUCCUCCUCUCCAGCCCUGCUAUACCGUCCCUAUGGUUCUCCUCCUCCUCUCCUGCCCUGCUAUACUGUCCCUAUGGUUCU
rnacentral:lncRNA from 1 species